rnacentral:rRNA from 1 species
GGCUGGAGAUCCUCAAUAGUAGGCGGGGGCAACCCUGGGGGCGAGUGGGGAACGGGUGANGACGCCGAACGUGUCCUGGAGUGGGGGAUAGCCCGGCGAAAGCCGGAUUAAUACCGCAACCUCGGGAGAGGAAAGCGGGGGAUCUUCGGACCUCGCGCUCAAGGGGCGGCCGAUGGCAGAUUAACUAGUUGGUGGGGUAAAGGCCUACCAAGGCGACGAUCUGUAGCUGGUCUGAGAGGACGACCAACCACACUGGGACUGAGACACGGCCCAGACUCCUACGGGAGGCAGCAGUGGGGAAUUUUGGACAAUGGGGGCAACCCUGAUCCAGCAAUGCCGCGUGUGUUGAGAGAAAGCGCAUCGGGAGUUGUAACAGCACUCUCUCUCCGAAAAGAAAAGCUGUCGUCCCAAAAUACGCGUGGGAGGGAUAGACGGUACCGAGAAAGAAAAUACCAUCCGGCUAACUUACGGGCCAACAGCCGCAUGCUAGUAAGACCUAGAGCGCGAGUCCUUAAUGCGGACAUCUACUCGGCGUAAAGCAGUGCGCCAGGCGAUUAUCGCUAAAUACCAAUAGUGAAAUCCCCGCGGCUGAACCGUGAGAACUGCAUAUCACAUGACUCGGCGCGCUAGAUGUAUGGCACGAGGGGGAGGAGAAUUCCACGAGUCUAGCAGAUAAAAUGCGUAAAAAAGUUGGGAAGCAAUAAACUGAAGGAGAAAGGCACCCCACUAGGCGCCGAUGAAGACUGGAGCCUCAUACAAGAAGAGCGUGUCGGGCAUGCCAGAAUGAGUGGGGAGCAAUCAUACUCGCCUCCCGUCGUAGUCAACUAGCCCUAAACGAUCUCCACCAAGGUCGUCGGGUCGUUCAUUAACUGUGGGAAACGUACCGCACCACGUGGAAAGUUGACCCCUCGCAGGAUGCACACUCAAAAGAAUAAAACUCAAGAGUAACUCAAGGGGACGCGCACGAGCGAGUAGAGGGAUGCAGAGUUAAUUCAGAUCCUGACCGAAAAACCUCAUGUCCUACCCUUAACAUGUGACGAAUCGUCGGUAAAGAUGGUAAGACUGCCCGAAAGAGGAACCGUAAGCACAGCUGUCGCAUACCUGCUGUCCACGCUUCGUAUCGUGAUGAAGUAUGGGUGUUAAGUCCCCCGACCCAGGCGGGAACCCGUUGUCCCUCGUGGGCACUCGAAGAAAAAUCCAGGGAGACCCCGGUGCCAAACCGGAGGAAGGUGGGGAGGCCUCCAGGUCCUCAUGGCCCUUAUGGGUAGGGCUUCACACGUCAUACAAUGGUCGGAACAGAGGGUUGCCAAGCCGAGAGGUGGCCCCAAUCCCAGAAAACCUCCGGUAGUCCGGAUUGCAGUUUGCAACUGGGAAGCGGGAAGCGGGAAUAGUUGGUAAUCGCGGAUCAGCAUGCCGCGGUGAAUACGUUUCCUUUUUUUGUACCCCCCCCCCCCUACCAUGGGAGUGCCUGAGACCGCUUCCCCAACCCCAAGGAGCCCCCCACCACGUUUGGUUUGGGAGAAGUGGAACUA